UCGCCUGUUUUUUCAAAAACAUCGCCAGCAAAUUAACUACUGGUAGAGUCUGCCCGGUGAAUUAUUUAACGGCCGCAGUAUCCUAACUGUGCUAAGGUAGCAUAAUCAUUAGUUCUUUUAUUGAGAACUCGUAUGAACGACCUGACGAGAGAUCGACUAUUUCAGCACUGUCCCGAACUUAAGAAAGAGGUUAAAACCCCUCUAAAUCCCAGUAGGACGACAAGACCCUAUAAAACUUUACUCCAAUCUUUAAACCUUAUCUUAGACCUUAGAUUUAAAAUAAGAGUUAUGCUGGGGCGGCAAGUAAAAUACAAUCAAUACUCAACCUAACGCAAUGAUUGAAAUUUAUAACCACCAAUAGAGACCCAAGAACAAGUUACUUUAGGGAUAACAGCGUAAUAUUUCUAGAGAGCCCACAUCGACAGAGAUGCUUACGACCUCGAUGUUGAAUUGAAGUACCACGUCGAAGCAGCCAUCGAUUUAGGAAGUCUGUUCGACUUUUAAACCUUCACAUGAUCUGAGUCCAAACCGGA
rnacentral:rRNA from 1 species